AUGAACCUGCGGUCUAUCAGUUAGUUGGUAGGGUAACGGCCUACCAAGACUACGACGGAUAUCUCGACUGAAAGGUUUUUGAGACACACUGGUAUUGAGAUACGGGCCAGACUCCUACGGGAGGCAGCAGCGAGGAAUUUUGCGCAAUGGGCGAAAGCCUGACGCAGCAACGCCGCGUGGAGGAUGAAGGUCUUCGGAUUGUAAACUCCUUUUGGAGAUGACGAAUGACGGUAAUCUCAGAAGAAGCCACGGCUAACUACGUGCCAGCAGCCGCGGUAAUACGUAGGUGGCAAGCGUUGUUCGGAAUUACUAGGCGUAAAGGGCGUGUAGGUGGG
rnacentral:rRNA from 1 species